rnacentral:rRNA from 1 species
AACGAACGCUGGCGGCGCGCCUAAUACAUGCAAGUCGAGCGAGAAGACGUAGCAAUACGUUUGUAAAGCGGCGAACGGGUGAGGAAUACAUGGGUAACCUACCCUCGAGUGGGGAAUAACUAGCCGAAAGGUUAGCUAAUACCGCGUACGCUCCUUGGACUUCGGUUCAGGGAGGAAAGCGAUACCGUGGGCAUCGCGCUCUUGGAUGGGCUCAUGUCCUAUCAGCUUGUUGGUGAGGUAACGGCUCACCAAGGCUUCGACGGGUAGCUGGUCUGAGAGGACGAUCAGCCACACUGGCACUGCGACACGGGCCAGACUCCUACGGGAGGCAGCAGUAAGGAAUAUUGCGCAAUGGGCGAAAGCCUGACGCAGCGACGCCGCGUGGGGGA